rnacentral:rRNA from 1 species
CCUACGGGUGGCAGCAGUGGGGAAUAUUGCGCAAUGGGCGAAAGCCUGACGCAGCGAAGCCGCGUGAGGGAUGAAGGUCUUCGGAUCGUAAAACUCUGUCAGCAGGGAAGAACGGUCACUGUGCUAAUCAGCAGUGAAUUGACGGUACCUGCAAAGGAAGCACCGGCUAACUCCGUGCCAGCAGCCGCGGUAAUGCGGAGGGUGCGUGCGUUAAUCGGAAUUACUGGGCGUAAAGCGGUCGUAGGUGGUAUGUCAAGUCAAGGGUGAAAGCCCCGGGCUCAACGUGGGACCUGCCGGUGAAACUGGCAGACUGGAGUGUGUGAGAGGAUAGUGGAAUUCCAGGUGUAGGAGUGAAAUGCGUAGAUAUCUGGAGGAACAUCAGUGGCGAAGGCGACUAUCUGGCACAUAACUGACGCUGAGGAGCGAAAGCGUGGGUAGCAAACAGGAUUAGAUACCCGAGUAGUC